UACGUAGGGGGCAAGCGUUAUCCGGAUUUACUGGGUGUAAAGGGAGCGCAGACGGCGGAGCAAGUCAGAUGUGAAAGGCGGGGGCUCAACCCCCGGACUGCAUUUGAAACUGUUUAGCUUGAGUGCCGGAGAGGUAAGCGGAAUUCCUAGUGUAGCGGUGAAAUGCGUAGAUAUUAGGAGGAACACCAGUGGCGAAGGCGGCUUACUGGACGGCAACUGACGUUGAGGCUCGAAAGCGUGGGGAGCAAAC
rnacentral:rRNA from 1 species